ACUGGGUGUGUUGGCACAUAUCUGUAAUCCCAGCAACUUGGGAGGCUGAAGCAGGAGGAUCAUGAGUUCAGUAACCUCAGCAAAAGCAAGGCACUAAGCAACUCAAUGAGACUCUGUCUCUA
rnacentral:sRNA from 1 species